rnacentral:rRNA from 1 species
UACAGAGGGUGCGAGCGUUGUUCGGAAUUAUUGGGCGUAAAGCGCUGGUAGGUGGUUUGACAAGUCGCUUGUGAAAGCUCCCGGCUCAACCGGGAAAGUGCGGGCGAAACUGUUAGACUUGAGUGCCGGAGAGGGUCGCGGAAUUCCCGGUGUAGAGGUGAAAUUCGUAGAUAUCGGGAGGAACACCAGAGGCGAAGGCGGCGACCUGGAAGGUGACUGACACUGAGCAGCGAAAGCGUGGGGAGCAAACAGGG